rnacentral:rRNA from 1 species
UACGAGGGGAGCUAGCGUUAUUCGGAAUUACUGGGCGUAAAGCGCGCGUAGGCGGUUUUUCAAGUCAGGGGUGAAAGCCCGGAGCUCAACUCCGGAAUAGCCUUUGAAACUGGAGGACUUGAAUCUUGGAGAGGUCAGUGGAAUUCCGAGUGCAGAGGUGAAAUUCGUAGAUAUUCGGAAGAACACCAGUGGCGAAGGCGACUGACUGGACAAGUAUUGACGCUGAGGUGCGAAAGCGUGGGGAGCAAACAGG